rnacentral:tRNA from 1 species
UGGUCUCCUAAACCGUAGAGGUGAGUUCGAAUCUCACCGGGGUCA